CCUACGGGUGGCAGCAGUGGGGAAUUUUGGACAAUGGGCGCAAGCCUGAUCCAGCUAUUCCGCGUGUGGGAAGACGGCCUUCGGGUUGUCAACCACUUUUGUAGAGAACGAAAAGUCUAUUGAUAAUACCGAUAGAUGAUGACGGUACUCUCAGAAUAAGCACCGGCUAACUACGUGCCAGCAGCCGCGGUAAUACGUAGGGUGCGAGCGUUACUCGGAAUUACUGGGCGUAAAGGGUGUGCAGGCGGUUUUGCAAGAUGGAUGUGAAAGCCCCGGGCUUAACCUGGGAAAGCCAUACAUGACUGCAAGACUAGAGUGCGUCAGAGGGGGGUGGAAUUCCAAGUGUAGCAGUGAAAUGCGUCGAUAUUUGGAAGAACACCGAUGGCGAAGGCAGCCCCCUGGGACGCAACUGACGCUCAUACACGAAAGCGUGGGGAGCAAACAGGGUUAGAUACCCCUGUAGUC
rnacentral:rRNA from 1 species